GAUGAACGCUGGCGGCGUGCCUAAUACAUGCAAGUCGAGCGAACAGACGAGGAGCUUGCUCCUCUGACGUUAGCGGCGGACGGGUGAGUAACACGUGGAUAACCUACCUAUAAGACUGGGAUAACUUCGGGAAACCGGAGCUAAUACAGGAUAAUAUAUUGAACCGCAUGGUUCAAUAGUGAAAGACGGUUUUGCUGUCACUUGUAGAUGGAUCCGCGCCGCAUUAGCUAGUUGGUAGGGUAACGGCCUACCAAGGCGACGAUGCGUAGCCGGUCUGAGAGGGAGAUCGGCCACACUGGAACUGAGACACGGUCCAGACUCCUACGGGAGGCAGCAGUAGGGAAUCUUCCGCAAUGGGCGAAAGCCUGACGGAGCAACGCCGCGUGAGUGAUGAAGGUCUUCGGAUCGUAAAACUCUGUUAUUAGGGAAGAACAAAUGUGUAAGUAACUAUGCACGUCUUGACGGUACCUAAUCAGAAAGCCACGGCUAACUACGUG
rnacentral:rRNA from 1 species